GAUGAACGCUGGCGGCGUGCCUAAUACAUGCAAGUCGAGCGAACAGACGAGGAGCUUGCUCCUCUAACGUUAGCGGCGGACGGGUGAGUAACACGUGGAUAACCUACCUAUAAGACUGGGAUAACUUCGGGAAACCGGAGCUAAUACCGGAUAAUAUAUUGAACCGCAUGGUUCAAUAGUGAAAGACGGUUUUGCUGUCACUUAUAGAUGGAUCCGCGCCGCAUUAGCCAGUUGGUAAGGUAACAGCUUACCAAGGCAACGAUGCGUAGCCGACCUGAGAGGGUGAUCGGCCACACGGGAACUGAGACACGGUCCAGACUCCUACGGGAGGCAGCAGUAGGGAAUCUUCCGCAAUGGGCGAAAGCCUGACGGAGCAACGCCGCGUGAGUGAUGAAGGUCUUCGGAUCGUAAACCUCUGUUAUUAGGGAAGAACAAAUGUGUAAGUAACUAUGCACGUCUUGACGGUACCUAAUCAGAAAGCCACGGCUAACUACGUGCCAGCCGCCGCCGUAA
rnacentral:rRNA from 1 species